GAUGAACGCUGGCGGCGCGCCUAACACAUGCAAGUCGAACGAGCGAGAGAGAGCUUGCUUUCUCGAGCGAGUGGCGAACGGGUGAGUAACGCGUGAGGAACCUGCCUCAAAGAGGGGGACAACAGUUGGAAACGACUGCUAAUACCGCAUAAGCCCACGACCCGGCAUCGGGUUGAGGGAAAAGGAGCAAUCCGCUUUGAGAUGGCCUCGCGUCCGAUUAGCUAGUUGGUGAGGUAAUGGCUCACCAAGGCGAUGAUACGUAGCCGACCUGAGAGGGUGAUCGGCUACACUGGGACUGAGACACGGCCCAG
rnacentral:rRNA from 1 species